UGGGCAGAGUAUAUGCUCAUAGACAACAGCCACUCCUCCAGUAUCUCCUUGACAAGAGGAUCUGAGGCCAAGGUGGGCCAAGGGCUCACAUCACACCUCUACCACUUCAGCUAUGAGACCUCAGGGAAAUCUUUGCACUUCACAGUGAGUGAAAUGAUUCCUCAUCUGUAAAAUGGUAUCACACUUCUAACUAGCUAGUAGCUCUCCAUAAAAUAGGCCUAACCACAGGUAUGUUUUGAGACUUAAGUGAGAUCACAUGUGCAAAAGCCCUGUCACACGCCUGGCAUGGGGUGAAUGCUAUAAACACUGGGCAUCCACUAGCUCUGGAAAUGAUUUGCCUCUCUGAGCUGCUGUUUUCUCAUCUAAAAGGGAGAGCAUAACAACAGCGCCUACCGCUCUAGAAUUCAAGUAUUCAGCAAGUUUAUCUAUAUGAAGCAUUCCAAACAGUGUGUGGCCCACAGAAUGCACUCAGUUACUGUCAGCCAUCAAUUUCAUGAUUACUGUUUUCACUGCCACUGUUAGCCCCAUCAGGCAAACCCUCUAAAAGCUGGCAGGAGAGGACGAGAGGAACAAACCCCUAGUGGAAAAAGAUUCUACAGAGCCCCCGCUGCCUCACAGACUGUGGGACCUUUCUCUCCAGGAACCAUGAGGCACGGAAGCCAGUCAGCUUGGAAGUCACUGCUGCGGACUAGGGGCAACCGUCUGCCCCCUCUGACCACAUCACCAGCCCAGGUCUGCUGGGUCAAUCAGGGACUGCAGCCAGUCCUCCGGGAACUCCAGACCCAGAGCAAAGGCUACAGGGCAAGCCAAGGUCAUGAUCUGGCCUAGGGAGCAGGGACACUGGCCACAGACCUCUGGGGCUGGCUGCUCCCAGCACCAGCCCACAGACCACAAUAAGACACCAGAUCCAUGGGGGAUCUGACUGUCCCAAGCCCUUCAGAGCAGCCUUCCUCCCUGGGCCAGGCUGGGCCAGGCUGGGCCAGGGGCAUCCCCCCCUCCAAGUCCCCUUGGCCUAUGCAAAGAGGAACAGCUGGGAAAACAGCUCCCGGCCUCACUGCAAGGCCAACUGUUACUGCCUUGGUGGGGAGUGUAAACAUGAUGUGUGACUGAGCUGGUAACCGGGAGACACAAACAGCUUCGUGGCCAGCGACAGAAGAGCACGUAGUGGUCUGCGUUGGUUCCUGGACCCUUCACAUCCACUGCCAACCAAGUUCAGCCCACGAGUGAACUCCUGCUGCUCCUCUGGGAAGGUAGGAGUGGAUGAGGUUGAAAAGCAGCCCAUUGGAGGCUCUAGUUACUCCAGCCCAGGCGUCUUGCCGAGCCCCAAGAGGUCUCCAAAUGAGAGGAAGAGGUCCUCACAAUCCCAAGAUCAAGAUGCCCCCAGAAAGCUUCCCCGGGGGGAAGACGUGUUCCCCCAAACACUCCUUCCUCCCAAGUUUUAAGAAGCUGGUGCAGGGGCACGGCUCCUCAAAUCCAAGCCUAAUCCCUCUUCCUCUUCCGAAUGUUAAGGCUCAGACAACUUCAGUGACUUCUAACACAGCUUUCCUCCCUCCCCUAUGGAAGGAAAGAACUGUUACUGCCUGGUGAAUAAUCUGAGAGGGUAAUGGAAUCCAGAGCAGCACCUCCAUGGUCCAAAGCACCCCAGUAACCAUGACGUUCCCUCCAGAGUCGUUAAGAAGUUCAAUAAAGGCUGAGAUCAGUGUAAACCCCCAACGCCACACACGUCAAAUACAAGAAACAGAAACCCCUCCUCACCAAUCGGCAUCACAGUCCUCCCAAAAUACGCCCCUAAAACCCACUAGGGCCUGUCCCGCCCCGUCCCAGUCCCUUAAAGAUCACAAACAUCACAGUCCUUCUCUGAUUUGGGCUCCCCUAUGUUCUAAGCAGGGCUCCCCCCAACGCCGUGGUGAUACAACCCAGCAACACUUGGGGAAGCAUCCUCCCCAGAAGCCCCCACCCCUGUAAAUACAGCACAGCAACGGCUUCCACAGCGCUAAAAAGCCAGAAUAUACAUUUGCUCAUGAGGACAAGGACUAUUGGGUACCACUGUAUUCCCAGCCCAUGGAAGAAUGCCUGUGAAAGAGUUCAGGACACACCACCCCAAUAUAUGCCCAUUUGAUAUGCUGAUUACUUCAAACGGAGGGAACUCAGGGGAACAGACUGCUUCAGCAGCAGGCUCCUGACAUGCCUGACCAAACACUGGCCGCAGAUAAGAUUUCCUACCACAUUAGCCCCCCAGAUCUCUGCCUGUAGAGUCCAGCGGAAGCAAGAUAGAUCCUCCAAAAGGAACUCCAGUGUCAUGAAUCCCCUCCCCAGGAAUCUUCUCAAUCAGGGAAGAUGAGCUCAGAUCACAGGAGAUGAGACUGAAGGUCCUCAAGAAGAGAAAAAUUUCACAGCUGCCCAGUGGUUUUAUAAACUCUGUUCACACGUGCCACAAGAUGGCGCCACAUGAGCUGGCCAUCCCUGCAGAAACCCAGCUGUCUUGCAGGCAUCAAGUCUUCCUAGAGCAAUUUGGGGGACCAUUCUAUCUGAACAUUCACUGUUUAAAAGGAAGCUCUUACAUGACACCUAAAUGCAACAUGUUAAGUCACCAGGGUGUCUCGGAAAAGAUAAAUAAAUAAAUGCAACAUGUGAUCCUGAAUUGGAUUCCAAGCCAGGAGAAAAAACAGCAAUAAGAAACGUUAUUGGGACAAUUGAUGAAAUUGGAACGUGAAUUGUGCAUUAGAUAAAAAUAUCAUGUCCAUGUUAAA